GCUCCCUGGAGCAGUAGCUAUGCCCCAGCCUAAAAUUCUCCCAGCUCACCUGCCCCAUGGCCAGAGCAUUUACCAGGAACAGGGCUUGGUGCCAAGUGCUUUCUGAGUGUCCUUUAAUCCUCAUGGUGACCCUGCAAAGUAAUUCUAGUAUCACCACCCGUGUGUCACACACAGGGAUACUGAAGGUUGGAGGUUUGCUAAUUGUCCUGACCCCUGCCUGUCUCCAACUUAACUGCUUCUGCCUCCCCUCCCUCCAGUCACGUUGCCCUGCCCCUCCAGGCCCUUCCACCAGAUUGUUAUCCCUGUCUGGAAAUAUCUUUCCCCAGAUCCUGACCUCCUGUUUAAAAAAGCCACCCAUCUGCCCCUGCCCCCACCAUGAAUCACAUGGGGGUGUGUUGAAGGCCUGUUUUCAUUGCUAGAGUAAAAGGCACAUGAGGGUGGAGAUUUGGGUUCAGCUCUGUGCCUAGAACUGUGCCUGGCACAUAAUAGAUGUUCAAUUAAUAUAUGUUGAAUGAAGGAACAGUGUGGAGGCCCUCAGCUGUGUUUCCUCCAAGCCCUCCCUCCCUCCCUGCACUGUCUCACCUCCCUGACUGUGGACUCUCUUAUCCCUGUGCUCCCCUCUUACACAGUUAGGAAUAGAGAUUAACUGGUGUUUGGUGGCUAUCUGCUUGCACCACUAAACUUUGAGCUGCUCAAGGUCAAGGCCUUGGUUCACUUGGUUCGCUCUUGGCUAAUGUCUGGCUCUGGAAGGCACCCCAGUGAACAGGUGAAUGAACCAGUGAAAUAGAAGAGCCAAGACUCGAACCGGUUCUCUGGUAUUCAGGCCCCCCUCUUAGCAUUGUGCUCCUUCCUGGUUUGAACCAGUUGGUCUGAUUCAAGCGCUCCAGAACAGCCGGUGUCCUAGAUCUGUGCUUCCGGCCAGCUCCUUUCUAGAGCUAGAUGGAGGCUUCCUGUGGGGCUGGUAAUUAUGUGGCUUGGCAACUUUUUGCAUUAAGCUUCACCAGUCUGCUCAAGAUGUUGCUUCCUUCUG